rnacentral:lncRNA from 1 species
CUCGCUUUGAUUGUAUCCUGAAAUUACAAAAAGAAAAAAAAGUAGUUUUAGAGAGGCUGCAUAUGAAAAAGUAGUUCCUUCAUUUUUCGAGAUGGGACAGAAGAAUUUGAAACACUUCAUGUAGCUUGGAUGUCACAAUCUUUUUCUAAUAGUUUGAUGAUAAUUUUUGAUGACUCACAAAGAACACAAAAAGAAAGAUUACAUACAAAAAGCCAAUGGAAUCAGUGGUCCUAGUUUUUAAGGUCCACCAUAUAUAUGGAUGGUCCAUAGGAAUCUUCAUAUAGCCCUGCAGUAACAAAAAGAAAUGAUUCUUUUUACAUUUUACAUUGUUCUUAUUCGUAAAAGUAUUAUAAAGACUUCUGUAUUUUGGUUUCUUUUAUUCAAAAACAAGAUAAAUUAAUCUCCAUAUAUUAGACCAUUAUACCAUUAAGUGAUGGUGUUUUAUUGUUUCGUUGCUUGAAUUAGUCCCUCCAUGUAAAAAAUUUCAUUCAUUUCUUUUACUAAAAAUUUAUCUAUUUUGCUUGAAUUAAUCAUUCCAUACCAACAUGAGGUACACAUGGCAUGUCAGGUGUCAUUGUUUGGUUACUCCACCAACCACACCAGCAUUUAACAGUAAAAAUGUAUAGAAUUUUUAACUGAAAGACCUGUUUGCUUUUAGAUGUUACGUAUAAUGACUAAUUUAUUUAUUUAUUAAGUAAGAGAUAAAGUACAAUCCGGCUCUUAAUAUAUAGGAUCUCUAUAAACCUACUUAUUCCUACCCUUUAUUAAAUAUAUAAAAAACUUUUUAUACCAAAAUAAAUAUGAUAAUAAUUAUCCCUAGGCCUCCAUUUCUGAAAAUUGAAGCUGAAAAAUACAACUUGCAAUUUUCUAGUUCCUACUAUAAAGUUUAAACGGCCCCACAGAGGACCAUCACCGAAAGGAAAGGUUUCAAGUUUUCCUUUUCAUUUCAGUUUGUUUUAUUAUUAUAUAAAAUCUUUUUAGAUUCUUACACGUAUAAUAACUUCACAUGAUGUUUGUAAGUUUUCAAAACAGACAUGAAAAACAUUAUAAAAAUCAAUACAAGUACCUAACAAGCAAUUAUUUUUUUGAUAGGGUCUUAAUUUAUGUAUAAGAAUCUGGAAAAUGAGAGACCCCCCUCCACGAAUUAUUAUUUUUUUCAACCACCGUGAUUUCGUGCAGACGUUUGACAUUAUCAGGCACACAUUUCAACGUCCAUGCAUCAUCAACUUAAUUAUAUACAUAAAUAAACUAAAAAUUGAAUUGUAUUCUAAAUUAUAUAUUCAGAAAACGAAUUAAUUAAUCUCUAUAUGUUAAAUUAAAUAAUAAAUUGGUAAUUAUAUUAAAAAUUUAUCUAUUUUUACUCUUAAAAGCUAGUUCUUAUACUUCAUUAU